GAGGGAUGGUCGAGUGGUUUAAGGCAGCGGUCUUGAAAACCGCCGACUCGCAAGGGUCCGUGGGUUCAAAUCCCACUCCCUCC
rnacentral:tRNA from 1 species